rnacentral:rRNA from 1 species
GACGAGCGCUGGCGGCGUGCUUAACACAUGCAAGUCGAGCGAUGAAGCUUCUUCGGGAAGGACUCUAGCGGCGGACGGGUGAGUAACACGUGGGUAACCUGCCUCAUAGAGGGGAAUAGCCUUCCGAAUGGAAGAUUAAUACCGCAUAAGAUUGUAAUACCGCAUGGUAUAGCAAUUAAAGGAGUAAUCCGCUAUGAGAUGGACCCGCGUCGCAUUAGCUAGUUGGUGAGGUAACGGCUCACCAAGGCGACGAUGCGUAGCCGACCUGAGAGGGUGAUCGGCCACAUUGGGACUGAGACACGGCCCAGACUCCUACGGGAGGCAGCAGUGGGGAAUAUUGCACAAUGGGGGAAACCCUGAUGCAGCAACGCCGCGUGAGUGAUGACGGUCUUCGGAUUGUAAAGCUCUGUCUUCAGGGACGAUAAUGACGGUACCUGAGGAGGAAGCCACGGCUAACUACGUGCCAGCCGCCGCAGUAA